AAAGUCCUCAGUUCACCUUUAGGGCAUAGCCUGCUCAGCCCCUACCCCCCACGACCCCUUAUAAGAGGACAGUGAGCAAAAGAGGAUCCUUCCUGAUGCCAAGAGUGUAUGAUGUUCCAUCACAAAAGGUUCUUAUGAUGCAACCAUUACAGAGAAGUACCUGAGAGCCUUUUGUGCUUGUGUGGAUUUACUUGCAAUGGAUCUCUUAUGCAAAAUACCUUUCCCUUCUCUGCCAGCUCCUCCAGGCAAUCAGGAAGAUACAGGCUUUUACUCAACAUGCUAACCAUGGCACGACCUGAUUUCUGGUGGCUAUCAACAUAA
rnacentral:lncRNA from 1 species